ACGGAGGGUGCGAGCGUUAAUCGGAAUUACUGGGCGUAAAGCGCGCAGGCGGUUUGUUAAGUAGGAUGUGAAAGCCCCGGGCUCAACCUGGGAACUGCAUUUUGAACUGGCAGACUAGAGUCUUGGAGAGGGGGGUGGAAUUCCAGGUGUAGCGGUGAAAUGCGUAGAGAUCUGGAGGAACAUCAGUGGCGAAGGCGGCCCCCUGGCCAAAGACUGACGCUCAUGUGCGAAAGUGUGGGUAGCGAACAGGAUUAGACUACCCCGUAGUC
rnacentral:rRNA from 1 species